UACGAAGGGGGCUAGCGUUAAUCGGAAUUACUGGGCGUAAAGCGUGCGCAGGCGGUGAUGUAAGACAGGUGUGAAAUCCCCGGGCUUAACCUGGGAACUGCGCUUGUUACUGGCAGGCUUGAGUGUGGCAGAGGGGGGUGGAAUUCCACGUGUAGCAGUGAAAUGCGUAGAGAUGUGGAGGAACACCGAUGGCGAAGGCAGCCCCCUGGGCUAACACUGACGCUCAUGCACGAAAGCGUGGGGAGCAAACAGG
rnacentral:rRNA from 1 species